AUAUUUCAUUGAUGCUUCCGAAGAGGUGAUCGUCCUUGCAAUUGAUCUUUCAUCAAAGAAGAAUAAACAAGAAAUAGAAUUUCACUUGCUAAACUCAAUAGGCCAUCAAAGCUAAAAUUCCCACGUGAAUUGUUGACUGUUGAACAUAUCUUCAUAAAGCUUGAAGUCCUUGCUAAGGAUAGUGUAACGGUCGCUGGAAAAACAAGAAGAAGAUGACUCUGCUUGGAAGCUGGAACCUUGGAACCUUAGUUCGGCUUCUACAUUCUUCUUGGAAUCCUAUUCAUUCGACCAUUUUAUUGCAAAGCACUUGCAUGUGCUGUAGUCUAUGCAGACAAAAAACAUUUUACCUGAAAAUAUUAGUACUCUUUCUCAUCUAGAAACAGUUAGUUUGACAGAACCCCAUCCCAAAUUCCAUAGAUGAAUAACUUUGGACCCUUAACACUUAGUUGUUCUGUAUUAAAUCCAACCAUCAUGACUCGGGCUUCAUAUAGGCCAACACAUGACCACCCAUUAGAAAAAUUUAGUGGUCCUUUCUAGAAAAGUGAACUCAACUCCGCUACAACCCAGAACACCAACUAAACACCGAACUGCUUCGUUGACCAAAUUUCACCGGACCACUUUGUUGAUCAACUUUCACCGGACUACUUUGUUGAUCUACUUUCACGUGACUACUGUGCAGA